CAGGAGCUACCGAUGCCAAAGCCUUUAAAGGAGAGGCUGAACUUUUCUGAGAAGUCCAAAUAAAUCAUCAGCACACAGAAAAGUUUCAAGUAUGGAAAAGUAUUCUUGUGAGUAGACCAAUUUAAUUACCUUCCUCCUGAUGAUAAGAGGGGUAUCAUCAUCAUCAUCAACAUCAUCCUCCAGAAUGGGAGAUGCUGAGGCUGGCUGUUU
rnacentral:lncRNA from 1 species